UACGUAGGGGGCAAGCGUUGUCCGGAAUCAUUGGGCGUAAAGAGCGUGUAGGCGGCCCGGUAAGUCCGCUGUGAAAGUCCAGGGCUCAACCCUGGGAUGCCGGUGGAUACUGUCGGGCUCGAGUCCGGAAGAGGAGUGUGGAAUUCCUGGUGUAGCGGUGAGAUGCGCAGAUAUCAGGAGGAACACCAAUGGCGAAGGCAGCACUCUGGGACGUGACUGACGCUGAGACGCGAAAGCGUGGGGAGCAAACAGG
rnacentral:rRNA from 1 species